rnacentral:rRNA from 1 species
GACGAACGCUGGCGGCGCGCUUAACACAUGCAAGUCGAGCGAAAACCAGGGCUUCGGCUCUGGGGACAGCGGCGAACGGGUGAGUAACACGUGGAUAACCUGCCCUCGGCACCGGGAUAGCCCGGGGAAACUCGGAUUAAUACCGGAUAGCCCUUCCGACUCUCGAGUCGGUCCGAAAAGGUAGCUUCGGCCUCUGGCCGAGGAUGGGUCCGCGGCGGAUUAGCUUGUUGGUGGGGUAACGCCUACCAAGGCUU